ensembl:antisense Gm12064 predicted gene 12064
GAAGUGCGGAAAUCAACCUGACAAGGAUCCCAUGAGGAACUGCUCUCCACUCCACCAGGACAGAAGCCCGGGGGUCCUUGAAGUCAGAGGGCAGGUGGCCCUGCUCACCACUUCAGCUAAUCUAUCUUCACUGAACUGAGUGCCAACAAGGGAGAUGUCCAACAGUCUGAAUAAGAGAGACAACCUAUCCAGGAGAUACGUUGUGCAAACACCAGAACUGCCAACACCCGGAAUAUCCAAAAGUAUCAGAUCCAACCAACAAGCCCGGGCUGGAGCUCAUCUCAUCUUGUCCCACUCCUGACUGUGGGCUCCCACUCUGCAUAAAGAUCACAGAGCAGAUGGACUUGACCACUGUUGCUUAAGUCCCUCCUGGCAACCCCAGAAGCUGAAGAGAAGAAAGAAGCUCCUGGGUGCCCCUCCUCCUCUACCAUCCGACACGCACCCCAUCUUCUUAGACCCACACACCCUUCACUGUCACCCGUAUAAUAAAUGAAAUGCAGAGACUGCCCCUUCCUUCAUUCCCUGCAAGAAU